CAGACAAGUACUGACUUAGCAAGACAGGAAGUGCCCAGGGCCUGCUGAAAUAUUACUUUUUUUUUUUUUUAAUUAAGAAGAAAAAGUGCUUGGUGUUCCCAGGUGUAGUUACUGAGCAGCAUGGUUCCAAAGGACAGCAAAAGCACUUUACUGCCUUAGAAGGAGGGGAGGCUUUGCCAGGCCUAUGAAACCCUCAUCUGGAUCUGGCCUCCAGGGCAGCCUCCUGCCUGCCUCUCUGGUGAGGCUCAGCUUCUGCUCUGCCUCACCAGCUCCCCUCCAGUUCCCCUCACUCUGAGGGUGCAGGGAGCAGGGUCCCACGGGAGCAUUGGUGUGAGAGGGAGCUCCCAGCACCGAGGGAGAAGCAGGACUCACUGACCAAACCAUGUGUUUGUGCUGGAAGGGCCUCACUGCAAACAUGCUCAUCUUAUGGAAGAAGAAAGGAGGUUCAGAGAGGGAAAGGCUUGCCUGAGGUCACACGGAAAUCAACUGCCUCUUCAUUCUUCCCCAGGCCUUCACAAUGAACAGAAAGCUGCAGUUUCCUCCUCUGUAUUCUUUCUCCACUCCCACUCGCCUCAUGUACCCCACUGACCCAGGUAUGAGAAACCCAGCCUGCACCUUCUAUAGCACCACAUGCCUAGACUGAGGAAAGAUCCACAAAUGCCACUCUUCUUCGAAUAGCCUACCUUCAUGAAGUCUCACCAACCCGCUGAAUAUGGACUCCAACGGUGCCCUAGGGGAUGGUGGAGCCACCAGAUGGAAGGAGCCUGGUGAUCCCGAGAAGGAGAGAUGCCUCGCUGACCUGAACAUCUUUCCAGAACUGUUAAAUGAAGCCUGCAGGACACCAGCUGACAGUGGAAGGACUGAGGAAGGUUGUAUAAUUUUGUGCAAGGUCCACCACAAAUCCAGCUGAAGAACUGCUCCAAAGUUUAGGUCAUGGCAAGAACAAGACUGGAUCACUCCAUGUCAGUGGAAACAUGUCCACCAACUUCAUCAUUGUCUGUUGUCAUGGUUCACUUUAGAUGUAAACUUGACUGGAUUAAGGAUUCCCUAAAGUGUCAGGCCUCUGAGCCCAAGCUAAGCCAUCAUAUCCCCUGUGACCUGCAUGUACACAUCCAGAUGGCCGGUUCCUGCCUUAACUGACGACAUUCCACCACAAAAGAAGUGAAAAUGGCCUGUUCCUGCCUUAACUGAUGACAUUAUCUUGUGAAAUUCCUUCUCCUGGCUCAUCCUGGCUCCAAAGCUCCCCCACUGAGCACCUUGUGACCCCCACUCCUGCCCACCAGAGAACAACCCCCUUUGACUGUAAUUUUCCUUUACCUUCCCAAAUCUUAUAAAAUGGCCCCACCCCAUCUCCCUUUGCUGACUUUCUUUUCAGACUCAGCCCUCCUGCAACCAGUUGAUUAAAAGCUUUAUUGCUC
rnacentral:lncRNA from 10 species